rnacentral:rRNA from 1 species
AGAGUUUGAUCCUGGCUCAGAUUGAACGCUGGCGGCAUGCUUUACACAUGCAAGUCGAACGGCAGCACGGGAGCUUGCUCCUGGUGGCGAGUGGCGAACGGGUGAGUAAUGCAUCGGAACGUAUCCAAUAAUGGGGGAUAACGCAGCGAAAGCUGUGCUAAUACCGCAUACGCCCUGAGGGGGAAAGUGGGGGACCGCAAGGCCUCACGUUAAUGGAGCGGCCGAUGUCAGAUUAGCUAGUUGGUGAGGUAAGGGCUCACCAAGGCGACGAUCUGUAGCUGGUCUGAGAGGAUGAUCAGCCACACUGGAACUGAGACACGGUCCAGACUCCUACGGGAGGCAGCAGUGGGGAAUUUUGGACAAUGGGGGCAACCCUGAUCCAGCCAUGCCGCGUGAGUGAAGAAGGCCUU